rnacentral:rRNA from 1 species
CGGGUGAGGAACACAUCGGAAUCUACCCUGUCGUGGGGGACGAACGUAGGGAAACUUACGCUAAUACCGCAUACGACCUUUGGGUGAAAGCGGGGGACUCGCAAGAGCCUCGCGCGAUUGGAUGAGCCGAUGUCCGAUUAGCUAGUUGGCGGGGUAAUGGCCCACCAAGGCGACGAUCGGUAGCUGGUCUGAGAGGACGACCAGCCACACUGGAACUGAGACACGGUCCAG